rnacentral:rRNA from 1 species
AGUGAACGCUGGCGGUAUGCCUAACACAUGCAAGUCGAACGGCAGCACAGUAAGAUCUUGCUCUUACGGGUGGCGAGUGGCGGACGGGUGAGGAAUACAUCGGAAUCUACUUUUUCGUGGGUGAUAACGUAGGGCAACUUACGCUAAUACCGCAUACGACCUACGGGUGAAAGCAGGGGAUCUUCGGACCUUGCGCGAUUGAAUUAGCCGAUGUCGGAUUAGCUAGUUGGCGGGGUAAAGGCCCACCAAGGCGACGAUCCGUAGCUGGUCUGAGAGGAUGAUCAGCCACACUGGAACUGAGACACGGUCCAGACUCCUACGGGAGGCAGCAGUGGGGAAUAUUGGACAAUGGGCGAAAGCCUGAUCCAGCCAUACCGCGUGGGUGAAGAAGGCCUUCGGGUUGUAAAGCCCUUUUGUUAGGAAAGAAAAGCAGCAGGUUAAAACCCCGCUGUUCUGACGGUACCCAAAGAAUAAGCACCGGCUAACUUCGUG